rnacentral:rRNA from 1 species
UUAAGUUAGAAAGGGCAGCAGGUGGAUGCCUUGGCACUAGGAGCCGAUGAAGGACGGGACGAACA